CUUACGAUAUUGUUACACAUCGAGUUUGAUAAAAAUCCAUUACAUUUUAGUGGUUAAUGCGAAGAAAGGCAUAUCUACUUUUAGCUAUAGUGGUCCCUAAUAGGGCCCAAGUUCCUAUAUAAAUAAAUUUGGAAGAGGACCUUAUAAUGAUGCUCCAGACCAAGUAUGACAAAGAUCCACCAAGCUGUUCAUGAGACGCUGUAUAAAGGCAUUUCUAGUGUUAGCUCUAGCAGCCCCUAAAAGGGGUUAAAUGUCCCAGCUGAACAAAGUUGACUGCGGGCCUAAUAAAGAUGCUACAAAUCAAGUUUGAUUAGAAUACAUGAGAAAAAAUCAAAGGAUUUUUUUUAUUUAUUAUCUUUAUUUAUUUCUAAAAUAGGCCAACUGAUCCCACUUUAACAAAUGCAUAUUCGCUAUUCAUGAAUCUUUGGACAAUGACGUCACACUUGUAAAAAGUGAAGGUCAAGCAAAACAUACAAUUGUAAUUAUGUCAUUAUUUCUGUUUCAUAAGCAAAGUUUGACCGUAGUCAUAUCACAUAGAUAAAUUGUAUGCAGCGUACCUUCGAUUCAGUGUAAUGAGAUUCAGUCAUUAUAUAGCAUAUAUAUAAUAAAACAGAUUUCAACUGAGUUCAAUAUUUUCAUGCCAUACUAAAGAACAAUAUUCAUAUAUAAUAAAUCAGUUAAAUAAUUUAUAACAAAUAUAUCAAACCAAACAAGUACUCAUUUUAAUAUGCAAUCUGAAUAAGUCACAAAAGCAAGAAACCUUUUCAUAUACAGACGACAAUUGUAACAAGGAAAAUCUUUUAAAAAGCACUUCUCUACAUAAAAGACUCUUAUCACACCCUUAUUCAUGUGAUACGCAGACCGUAUUCAGCUCUUUCUUUAAUUUGAUAUAUGUUGGUAUUUGAACAGGUUUUCAUCAUAUUUAUUAAACUUACUUAUCAUUUUGAGAUAUAUCAAUAUUCUUGCUAAAUAUACUGAGCCAAAGUUAGCUUUAAAACUGUGAACAGCGUCGUUUAGGAUAAACGCUUUGUCUACAUUUCACUCAGCGUAGCACAAUCAACAGAGUGAAAGAAAUUGACACUCUCGUCCAAUCAGGCAGAGCGUUGCAUAAAUCUUCCAUUUUGAUAAAUUAUCUAUAAUGCGUUAUCAAGUAGUUUGAUUUGCAAACUGAAGUCACGUGGCAUAGGUAACGAAAACGAAUUUAGACGGCGUCGCCGAAAAAUAUUCUAGUCUACUAGCGGGGAAAGUAUACAUUUGUCCGAGCGCGCAAAAUCAUGUAACCUGUUAUAAGGAUGUCUACCUGCCUUAGCAAGGUAGACAAACAUUAAUUUUCUAUAGAGUAUAAGGUCUAUGUUCAUUAGUUAUGAAGAGAAGAAGGGAUAACCUUAGAUUUAAGAUAUUUAAAGAAAAAAUGUGAAAAUGAAAAAGUAUAUUAGAAAAUAAGUAUUUCUUAGUUCUUAGAAAUUUAAAAGCUUUCUUUCUGAAAAUCGGACUGGCAAUGAAAUUCUCAGGAUAUAUAGCUGAUACACUUAUCAGUUAGUACGCUAAAAUUACAGAUCUGCAGCCAAUUUUUUAUAUAAUAUAUUCUUUAUAUUCCAAUGCUUCUUUAAUGAAGUUCUGCUAAGGAUGACAGCCCGAAUUACAAAACCCUAUGGCUGCCAUCUGCUUGGCUUUUAAGUAAUAUGCAGGACACUGUGAAAAUUAUCUCGUUUAAUACAGUUCUAUUUUAACGCAGUAUUUCAUUUGAUGACCUGCGAAAAUUGUUAUAUUACCACAAUUAUUUCCUACCAACAAAGAAACAUGUUAGAGCUGUGAAACUGAGGUGAACAAUCUAGAGCCAUCAUGACCCUCCUGUUACUUUUAUCAUUUUUAUUUCAACAAGAAUCUUCCAUUAGAAUUGGUGCAUCAUUUACAACAAAUUCAAGUCGAUACAAGUGCUAUAACUUGAAUUUUCCACAUACGAUGAUGGCGUAAACGAGUAUUUCACAACAGAUUCAAGUUUGUAUUUGCUUUAGCGUCUUUUUAUGAUUUAAUUGUUAUAAAACAAGUUAUUUGUUUUCAGCUGCUUUAAUUCGCAAUUGUUUAGAACAGUUCAUGAAUCAUAGCAACAAACAUCGUGAGUAUAUCCAAAUUUAUAAUUCUUUCACGUGCCUUAAGGUGCAAAUGGAUUGUCUUGUAGCCACAGUCGUUCAAUCUAUCUAUUCAUCGAGUCAAUAAAUUCAAAAUGUCCUUUCUAUGGACACUCGUUUGGUAGUAUCAGCGAUCUUGACGGGAACAAGGAGAACUGCCUCACGUGUCCACGAGGAGUUUGUCCACAGAUGGGUUAUAACGCAGACAAGUUUCUAGCACUUGGGAAAUUUUACCUCCGCACAAGAAAAGUCCAUUUUGUGGUAAACUGUAUAUUUAUACUUACAUAACUUGUAAAACAAACUUUCGCACAUGGCUUACUGUAACGAAGUAUUAAGUAAACUAACAUAAAUGUAUAGCCGUUACACGUAUUUGCAAAUGUGUGAAACUGUUACAAAAUGCAGAGUAAAAGUCCACGCAUUUUUAGUACAUCAAUGUUGUUCAACUUGACUUUUAUUAUGACAAGACAUGUGAAAAAUACACUAACUGAUCGCGCAUUUGCUCAAGGUAAACUUUAAUAUUUACUGAUAUCUGUAAACUGGAAAGCAUUUUAUAAUCUGCAUAAUUAUUUUCAUGUAUAUAUACAUUAAAGGAUAUACCAACCAGGUUGAAAUUGCCUUUGGCAAGAUGGAUCCAACCGAAGGAAAAAUAAAAAUUGAAGUGAUUGGACAGGAUAGGACGUCGGACAGUGUUGUCAUGGAGAGUGGAAGUGACCCAUUCGCGUCUGGAAGUCAACGUGACGUCAUUGUAUUGAACAGUAUGAGAAAUGAUGACAUAGUAGAGGUGAAGUUAACAUUCCAGGAGUAUUGGUCAUUCUGGUCCCAUAGGCCUUCUGUCACUAUUUACAAGCUCACAAUAACUUCUGUUGUAGAUGGUCGAAGGAUUCACUUCUGCGGAUACAAUUUAACACUUAUAGAUAAUAAGCCCGUCCGCUUAGCACAGUAGGUAAGAGCGUUGGUCUACGGAUCGCGGGGUCGCGAGUUCGAUCCUCGGGCGUAUAUUCUCCGUGACUAUUUGAUAAACGACAUUGUGUCUGAAAUCAUUAGUCCUCCACCUCUGAUUCAUGUGGGGAAGUUGGCAUUACUUGCGGAGAACAGGUUUGUACUGGUACAGAAUCCAGGAACACUGGUUAGGUUAACUGCCCGCCGUAACAUGACUGAAAUACUGUUGAAAAACGGCGUUAAACCCAAAACAAACAAAAAAACUUAUAGAUAAUGGCCGCCGUCAGCUGACAUUGUUCAAGACACUGUUCAAGAUACCGACUGAUAGCGUGGAUCUUGGAAACGGCUACUUUCUGAUUAAGGAAAAUGGCUUCUCAUGGAUCUACCGUGACUGCUGAUGAAUAGACCAUGUAAAUGGAUACUUUAUAGUGUCAUUAGACUUAGAAACUGAUAAUGAUGAAACAAAAAUAGAAAUAGAUAUUACAAGAUAUAAGAUAUGUGUUGACAUAUAGUGUUUUGCUUUAUUAAGUAACUAAUGAUAAGAAGGUUUAUACAUGUUGCAGUUUUUUGAUUUCUCAGCAAUAUUUUCGUUGUAAAAAGUAUGCCAAAAUAGUAGAGGUAAAAGAUCCCUAAAUCAAAACGUUGUACUAAGUUUAAUAGUUUACUCAACAGUUAGCUUUAUAACAGCAUAAUUGGAAUAAAAUACUAUUUUGUAUAUUUAAGUUUAACAAAAAUUCUAUUUUUCAACUCCUCAGUGUGUUACCUUCUACUCGCAUGUAAUCACUGCUUUUCUUGUGAAUUCUGCUAGGCUUUUACGUACAGAUAUAGCUUAAAUUUAUUGUCUGACUUUGAUUUGCAGGCCCGUAGGAAGC